rnacentral:rRNA from 1 species
AUGGACGUCGAUGAUGAUGUGGAGGACGAUGACAUGGAUUUCAACCCUUUAUAUAGGGAAGGAUCACCAUCCGAGACCUCGUCAAGCCUCACCUCAGAGGCAGAAUGCGAGGGAACUAGAUUUGAAAAUCAACCAAGCACUGAGGUGCUUCUUUGCAAUAGUUCUGGUAAUGGAAAUGCAGGUGAUUGUGUGCUUCCCAAAGAAAGUGUGUCAGCAAAAGGUGCCUCCAAAGUAAAUGUUCCAGAGAGCAGUUCUACCCACUUGCAUUGUGAGAAUAGAGAAGGCCAUGUUAAUGGAUUGGGAAAGGAACCCUUACGAACUGUAGCUUCCAUCUCUCCACCAGUACAGAAUACUCAUCCCCUGUUGCAUGAAGGCACCGAGGAAGAUGCAAUCUGCAGGCGGACACGGGCAAGAUACUCUCUGGCAAAUUACGCACUCGACGAGUUAGAGACCUUUCUCCAGGAAUCUGACGAUGAUGGUGACCUGCAGAAUGUUGACGAGGAAGAGGAAUACCGCAAGUUUCUUUCAGCUGUCCUGUCUGGUGGAGGCGAUGGCACACAGGCUUGCCAGGGGGAUGAAGCCCAGGAUGAAGAUGAGAAUGAUGCGGACUUUGAGCUCGAAAUUGAGGAGGCCCUGGAAAGUGAUGGCGGUGAAAAUGUCGAGAAUGAUAAGAGCAUAAAUGGUAGGAAUAAGAAAGAUGGUCAUAGGCCUCAGACUAGGAAGAAGAGACCCGAGUUGUCUAGGGCAAUCAAUCAUCAACAGGAAUCAACUAAACCUAAUUUGCGACCGAUUGUGCCAAAUAUCUCAACUAUACCCCAGGUUCCUGGGCAGUAUCCAUCCCAGAACAUCAAUAUCCCUUCCUCAUCAUCAUCAGCAACUGGUGCUGCUGUAGUGAAGGGGUUUACUGAUGAGCAACUUGGCCAAUUGCAUAUUUUGAUAUAUGAACAUGUUCAGCUCAUGAUCCAAACCUUCUCUCUAUGCGUGCUCGACCCAUCUAAACAGCGUGUGGCUGCUGAUGUUAAAAAAAUGAUAGUUGAGUUGGUUGGCUACCGUGAUCAAGCAUUGGCUAGGAAAAACACUAUUCGUCAACAAUUCUAUUUCGAAGGGCAGCAUCUUCGGUCAGCAAUUAGUCAUGCUUCUUCUGAGAGCUCGCAAUGCCAAUGGAUUCCAUUAAUUAAGAAUCCUGUUAUGUCCAUCCUUGAUGUAUCGCCACUUCAUUUGGCCCUCAGCUAUUUAAGUGAUGUUGCAGGCGCUGUUGUGAAGUAUAGAAAAAGCCAUGUGGAUGGCACUCCAGAGAGGAUCCGCUUUAGGAAAGAACCUCUUUUUCCAUCACCUGUACUUAGCACUGGCAGAGAUGCUAACAAUAUUUCUCAAGACAGACCAAAUAAUGUGUCCACAUCAACGCCAGCUUCACCUGGCCAGUCACAGCCCAAGAAAUCAUUAGCUGCUACCCUUUUUGAGAGUACUAAAAAGGAGUCGGUUGCUCUUGUUCCAUUUGAUAUUGCAAGAUUGGCGCAGAGAUUUUAUCCACUAUUCAAUUUUUCGCUGUUUCCUCAUAAGCCACCUCCCGCAGCUAUGGUCAGUAGACUGCUUUUCACUGAUGCAGAGGACGGGUUAUUAGCUCUAGGACUUCUGGAAUAUAAUAAUGACUGGGAAGCGAUACAAAAGCGUUUUCUUCCUUGCAAAUCAACGCAUCAGAUAUUUGUGAGACAGAAGAACCGCAGCUCAGCGAAAGCUACUGACAAUCCAGUCAAGGAUGUGCGCCGUAUGAAGAAUUCUCCAUUGAGUAGUGAGGAAGUGCAGCGUAUCGAAGAGGUGGUUAUAUCUGUCUCUGCAGACUAUCUUCUGUUCCCUGUUGAAUUGUUUGUUGUGCCAUACAGAGAUCCUUCGCUGCUCCAGCGUCAGUGGAGAGUUGCCAAUGGAGUCCAGCGAUCUUACAGUAAAAGUGAGGCUUUGAAAGCAAAGAGAAGAACAUAUGAAGCGAAGAGGAGGCAAUUAAAAGCUUCCAUGGCUGAUUCACAAGUAGGUCGUGAGCAGGAGACUGAUAAUGAUGCUUUUGAGGAUGUUGAAAAUGAUGAUGAUGAUGAUGAUGAUGGUGAUGGUGAUGAUCCGUAUGUCAAUGAAGCAUUUUUAGCGGACACAGAGAAUAGGAGCAUGAAUAUGAUGCAAACGGGCACCAGCCUCAAUGAUGAAUGUGGUUCUGCAUAUGGCCGCUUUGAGCAGCAUAAUAGAAAUGGUAUGCGCCAUGGUGUCGGCGCUGCAUAUAUACCUUUUAGCUCUUGUGCUUCUGAUGGUCCUUCAACUAAAAGGGUGUUUGGUGUGACUUUGGAUGAACCGCAAGCUUCACAAUUGUCUAAAGAGAAAGGUAGCCAUGUCGUCAAGUUGGCCCCAGAUUUGCCUCCUGUAAACCUUCCUCCUUCUGUCCGUGUGAUAUCUCAGAUGGAAUUUCAUCAGAAUGCCGCGCAGGAUCUGUUUCCUGUGCCACCUCCAACCUUUACAGAAUGUGUUUAUACACAGCUAAAUCUUUUCCCUCAUCAUAGUACUACUGACAGAUCACAACAACAUGGGCAUGAUGCACGUUCGAUGGAAGAUGGCGCUGAGCAAGAUUUUCAAAUGCAUCCUUUGCUUUUUCAGCAUCCUCGAGAAGUGCUUUCGUCACAUAGCCAUUUGGUUCAAAAUCUUACUAGUCAUUCAAGAAAUUAUAAUCUUUUCCCUUUUGAGAAAGUUCAAGUUGAGAAAAGUAAUAAGCAGACUACAGAUUGCAUGGAAAGAGCUCCUGUCAAUGCUAAUACCAUCGACUUCCAUCCUCUGCUGCAAAGAUCUGAAGCUGAGAUGCAUGUGGAAGUACCGGAAGAGGACUGUCAUCCACUUUCUAAUCAAUCUGACGGUCGUAUUAGGGAACCUCCAGUGGAUGACCAGUCAACAGUUAGGGAAGCGUCGACAAGCGAAAGAGAGAACGGUGUUGAUAUGCAAGAAUCCACAAGCCCUUGUGAGAGGGAUAACAACAUUGAUUUGGACAUUCAUUUAUGUUCCUCAGUGGAUUUUAGGAUUGCAAAGGAUUUGAGAAGUACUCCUAGUAAAUCCAGAAUUCAGCCAGAAAGGCCUGUGAAGGACAGAGCUAGUAUUUCGAAUUCACAGCCUGGAAAUGCUAGUCCUCAUCAUGACACUGAAGGGCCUGGUGAGGAAACAAUGCAAGGCAUUGUAAUGGAACAAGAAGAAUUAAGUGAUUCCGAGGAAGAGAGCCAGCAUGUUGAGUUUGAAUGUGAGGAAAUGGAUGAUUCUGAAGAUGAGCAAGUUCAGGGCACAGAACCAUGUUCGACUACAAACAAGGGAACUUCAACAUCAAUUGUUUGUUCAGAGGUGCAAGAAAAUAAUGACCAGUGUCAAACCCAACAAGGAUUAAAACAGGUGGCUAAGCAGGGUGUGGGUUCAAAACGGAAAUCCCGUGGGUCUUCUAGUGCAAGGCCGGUUAGAGCAAAGUCGAAGCCAACGGAUGCAGAUGCAGAAAAGCACACAGGAACUAGAAGAAGCCGACGGAUAUCCAAGUCCAGGUCUCGAGCAAGUGAAUCUAGCCAGGCCAAAAUGCCGGAAGAGGCAGGUCCUGAACACAAGUCCAGGGAGUCAAGAAGGUCUAGAAAGAGUCCUGCCCCUAGUUAA